rnacentral:rRNA from 1 species
AUUAUCCUACGGGACGCAGCAGUGGGGGAUAUUGCACAAUGGGGGGAACCCUGAUGCAGCGACGCCGCGUGAGUGAAGAAGUAAUUCGUUAUGUAAAGCUCUAUCAGCAGGGAAGAAUAAAUGACGGUACCUGAGUAAGAAGCCCCGGCUAACUACGUGCCAGCAGCCGCGGUAAUACGUAGGGGGCAAGCGUUAUCCGGAAUCACUGGGUGUAAAGGGAGCGUAGACGGCUGAGCAAGCCUGAAGUGAAAGGCGGGGGCCCAACCCCCGGACUGCUUUGGGAACUGUACGGCUGGAGUGCAGGG